rnacentral:lncRNA from 1 species
CCUCAUUAGCGACCUUCUAGCCAUUUCCUGUUCCCGAACGCCUUCCCCGAUCCCGUCCCUUGUUCCCACGAUCCUGUGCCUCUUUAUGAUCAUCGACCUCUUGCCUGUGUACCGACCUCGCCUUUUGGAUUCUCCCUGUUACGACGUUCGCACCUCGAAGACCAAUCGCCCGUUCUCUGACCUCCUCUCUUGGUUUUCCCCGAAGACACCACGUAUACCGCUCUGCACUUGAAAGAUGCAGAAAUGUGCCACAGCUCUGUGGGAGAUGCAGCAGCCCCUGAUGAAGCCCCUGAAGGACAACGCUGGGCAGGAAGAACACCUGAAGCUUCUGGAGGAGCUGCAGAAGCUCCUUCCUCUCACCAGCAUGGGCACAGAAACUGGACACUACUAACAAAGGCUAAAAAAAAAGAAAGGGACAAACAUCCUUGCUCGAUGCUGCAGGCAGUUCUAAACAGGACGGGUUUUUAAUCAAAGGCAUUUUGUCGCCGGAAAACGUGGAAAGCUGGAUAACAGAAGACUGGAUAAUCGGGACUCUUUAUGAUUAUAACUGACUAAUGCACUCAUUUGCUGUCUAUAAUCGCUUGUCCUAAGAUAGGUUAUGGCAGUGCAGAACAUAUCCCAGAAGCAAAGGAUGCCAGACAAGGCAGGUGUUGUAUUUUUAUUGUUUGAGUUGGUGUUGUUGAUGUUGUGUGGAAAGGUGUUGUUUGUAUUUGGUUGUCAACUUGUAAUUGCUGAUGAAUGAUUGGCAUUGAGUUUAAUUGUACAAUUUGAAAUGCGAUUUAUAGAACUGCCACUAGAUGUCCAUACGUUAAUUACGUUCCUUGGUCUUUUGCGUAAAUGAAAAAAGAAGUAGAGAAGAAGAGUUUGGCUCAGAGUGUACUGCCUCAGAGCGUACAAGUGGAGCGACG